GAUGAACGCUAGCUACAGGCUUAACACAUGCAAGUCGAGGGGUAACAAGAGGAAAGCUUGCUUUUCUUGUUGACGACCGGCGCACGGGUGAGUAACGCGUAUCCAACCUGCCUAUAACUAGGGAAUAACCUUGCGAAAGUAAGACUAAUACCCUAUGAUUUCCUUUGAUGACAUCAGAUUAGGAAUAAAGAUUUAUCGGUUAUAGAUGGGGAUGCGUCUGAUUAGCUUGUUGGCGGGGUAACGGCCCACCAAGGCAACGAUCAGUAGGGGUUCUGAGAGGAAGGUCCCCCACAGUGGAACUGCGACACGGUCCAAACGCCUACGGGAGGCAGCAGUGAGGAAUAUUGGUCAAUGGGCGGAAGCCUGAACCAGCCAAGUAGCGUGCAGGAUGACGGCCCUAUGGGUUGUAAACUGCUUUUAUACAGGAAUAAAGUUAGCCACGUGUGGUUAUUUGUAGGUACUGUAUGAAUAAGGACCGGCUAAUUCCGUGCCAGCAGCCGCCGUAA
rnacentral:rRNA from 1 species